AUACGUAGGGGACGAGCGUUGUCCGGAAUUACUGGGCGUAAAGGGCGCGCAGGCGGAUAUUUAAGUCAGCUGUAAAAGGCAUGAGCUCAACUCAUGUAUGCGGUUGAAACUGGGUAUCUAGAGUGCUGGAGAGGUAGGCGGAAUUCCCGGUGUAGCGGUGAAAUGCGUAGAUAUCGGGAAGAACACCAGUGGCGAAGGCGGCUUACUGGCCAGCAACUGACGCUGAGGCGCGAAAGCCAGGGGAGCGAACGGGAUUAGAUGCCCCGGUAGUCCUGGCCGUAAACGAUGAAUGCUAGGUGUGGGUGUCGAGAGGCAUCCGUGCCGGAGUUAACGCGAUAAGCAUUCCGCCUGGGGAGUACGAUCGCAAGAUUGAAACUCAAAUGAAUUGACGGGG
rnacentral:rRNA from 1 species